CCUGGGUCAAGCUGAGUAUCUCCACGUUUAGGUGCACAAAUACUAUUUUGUGAAGAUCUUAAAUUUGUGGUAUAAGAACUUGAAGGAAAUAGAACUGAUUUGUUACUUCUAAAAGGUUUGUAAGACUCCAGGGCCUCCCAGCCGUGAAUAAUCUGAUGGUUCCUGAAAUGACUGGGGAAGCAGACGCUUCGUAUGGCAGUUGAAGAGUGUGUGUCUAUGUGCAUUUAAAACCUUCUUUCUGUACUUACACAUUCACACGGGAAGACAGGCUCAUUCUUGUGCACACUUGAGAGUUUUACAACUGAUGAAAAUUAAUUUAAGAAUCAGAUGGAGCAACUUGACACCAGUGGGCUCAGGAGCCCGGGGAGAAAAAUACAUCACUAAUGGCCAGUUUUCCAUAUGGUCUGCACGGGUAAAGAAAGUC
rnacentral:lncRNA from 1 species